UAGUAGUUGAUCAUAUCGAUUCAUAUUUUGAUAUGAAUUGAUUGACUUAAGACCUAAUUUGACUCAGUGAUUUGGGUCCAGGUCAAUAGGUUAACCUAAUCGAUUCUAAUCGACCAAUUUGGUGUCUAAGAUAAGUAUCUAGAUGGUGGUUAUUUAAUUAAUUUUAUUGUCUGACUUGAUCAAUUCAUUAGUAUCUAAGAAAAGCAACGAGA
rnacentral:lncRNA from 1 species